AGGCCAUAUCAACUUGAAACACCGCUUCCUCUACGAUCACCGAAGAUAAGCAACGUUGAGUCUGGUCACUACCUAAAUGGGUGACCGCUUAGGAAUAACAGGUGCUGUAAG